GUUAGUAGCAUACAUCCUUACUUAUAGUUAGUCAGAUAUAGUAUGUAAGUUAGGUUUUAUACUUCAUUGGUUGAUAGUAGCUUAUACUACCUUUUUUGGUCAGUUAGUAGUGAGUAGGAUACUUCCUUACUUAGAGUCAAUCAGUAGUUAUUUGGUUAAAUAUUAAUUUAUCGUAAGUCAGAAAGUUAAAUACUACCUUAUAGUAAGUUAAUAGUAAUAGGUUUUAUACUGCCUCGGUUGUUAAUAGCUUCUAAGCUACCUUUUAGUCAGUUAGUCAUAGUUAAUCUAGUACAUCCUUACAUAUGGUCUGAUUGUUGUAGUUAGGUCACAUCCUAACUCAUAUAGUCAGUUGGUAAUAGUUAGCAGGUUACAUCCUAACCUAAAGCCAGUUAUGUCAGCAGGUGCUCGAGUGUGGAAGCCACCAACAGUCAGACAGGGGUCUCUACAACAGCCCAGUACGUCAGAUGCAGUUUCUGUACAGAGUCUCUCAGGGCGGGGCCGGAGUGACCAGGAGGUCUCUGGAGGGACCACUCCUUCUCAUCCAGAGAUCGACCCCCCCGGAGGAGGAGUAGAGAGGGGCUCUGCAGUCCAGGAGGAGGUCUCCUUGGUUCUCCAUGAACAUUUGCAGGGCUCAAGUGUUUAUUCAAGAGAGACGAACCUGAGAAAUGUUCUCAGAGUUAACUACCAAGAACCGGAAGUACCUAAGGAUGAUGACUACUUCUGUAAGAGGGCUCACUCACUCUGUCUCUGUCUCUGUCUCUGUCUCUGUCUCUGUCUCUGUCUCUGUCUCUGUCUCUGUCUCUGUCUCUGUCUCUGUCUCUGUCUCUGUCUAUCUCUGUCUCUGUCUCUCUCUCCCCACCUCUUUUUCAUUCACAAACCAAUUUUUAAUCUUCCUGUUUCUGUCUAUUUAAUAUAGAUUUGUAGCUGAAGCUCUUUUGGACAUAAUAAAUAAAUGAACUCUCCAGUCUGUGAUGAGUGUAGGACUUUCUUCCUCGAAGAGUGCGAGGUCCACGGUCCUAUCGUCUUCAUGGCUGAUCGCCCCGUUGCUGUCGGAGAGAAAGACCGAGCCAAGAAGACGCUGCCCGCUGGGUUUGAGGUAGAUGU